UUUCCGCAGGUGAACCUGCGGAAGGAUCAUUAAUGAGUUGUCAUGGGGUUCGAUGCUGGCAGCCAAUUUUUGGAUGCAUGUGCUUGCCCUAACAAUCAUCUUCCAAACACCUGUGCACAUUUUUGAGGGAGUCUUGAGUUGGUUGCCGCUCUUGGGUGAUUUUCUCACAUUCCCUUAAAUCAUUAUACGCUAUUAACAAUGUUGAACGUGCUCUGUGCCGCAAGGCUAUUAAUAUAAUACAACUUUUAACAACGGAUCUCUUGGCUCUC
rnacentral:misc_RNA from 1 species